UCGAUUAUUAUAGAGAUAAUAUCUUAUUCAAGCAACUUCCACACAAUAAGUCACUUUAAGAUUUAUGUUUUUCAUGUAUUUUAGAAGAUGCACAUGGAUACAUGCAAGCGCAAAAUGCAUCUGCUGAACAAUAUGAUUUUGUAUAGUUUGGUUUGUCCUUCUUGCAAAUAGUAGCGCAAAACUGUGGAGUACACUUUAUAACAUAAAUUUCCUCUCCACACAGUGCUGCCAUAACUUUCUCCCUACCUACAUAAACAAACAUUUAUAAAAAUUAAAUGUGCAAAAUUGAGAUUCCGCAUAUAAAAUAAAAUAAUGUUAUUUGCAGUCACUUAAUACCGUACGUAGCAUACGUAUGACUGUUAGUGAUUUGAUGCAUAAGGUAAUAAAAAAACUACCACAUGAAUUUAUCAAAUCACUAAUCGCUACAUAUAUAUCAUAUAGAGCAACUGCGGCAGUGAACGACUGUAAAUAGCAUUACUCUAUAAGAUAUAUCUGAUACGACAAAACUUUUAAAUAAAAACUUUAUCACAUGGUUUUUGUAGUUGAUAAUUGCGUAAACCACGAGUGUAAUGUACAAUGAUAUCAUUAUAUAAAACAUAGAUUAUGAAUGUAAAGUUACCUCCGCAAAUUAGAAGAGAAAAUAGAAGAAUGGUUAGUGCAUUCAAAAGCUUCAUGUUUAGGAUUGUUUAUAGUCAGUGAAG
rnacentral:lncRNA from 1 species